UACGGGGGGGGCAAGCGUUGUUCGGAAUUACUGGGCGUAAAGGGUUCGUAGGUGGCCAACUAAGUCAGACGUGAAAUCCCUCAGCUUAACUGGGGAACUGCGUCUGAUACUGGUUGGCUUGAGUGCAGGAGAGGAAUGCGGAAUUCCAGGUGUAGCGGUGAAAUGCGCAGAUAUCAGGAGGAACACCAACGGCGAAGGCAGCUCGCUAGGACGGUACUGACGCUGAGACGCGAAAGCGUGGGGAGCGAACAGG
rnacentral:rRNA from 1 species